rnacentral:lncRNA from 1 species
CAUGGAGAAGGAUGUCGGGUCGACUAGUAAGAAUUAAUUGGAUUCCUGUUUCAAACCCAAAAAUUUUUAUAAUGAGAGAACCCAAUCAACCCCAAAUCCUUAAGGAUUUAUGUUAUUCAGUCGGUUCCGUCCAACCUUCUUGCAUCAGGUUGCCUCAACCCACCGCAAACAACUUUAAAAUUAAACCUCAAAUUAUCAAUAUGCUUCC